rnacentral:rRNA from 1 species
GAUGAACGCUAGCGGCAGGCUUAAUACAUGCAAGUCGUGGGGCAGCAGCUCUGUAGCAAUACAGAGGCUGGCGACCGGCAAACGGGUGCGGAACACGUACGCAACUUACCCAUAACUGGUGAAUAGCCCUCCGAAAGGAGGAUUAAUACAUCGUAACAUAAUGAGAUGGCAUCAUUUUAUUAUUAUAGCUCCGGCGGUUAUGGAUGGGCGUGCGGCUGAUUAGGUAGUUGGCGGAGUAAUAGCCCACCAAGCCUACGAUCAGUAACUGGUGUGAGAGCACGACCAGUCACACGGGCACUGAGACACGGGCCCGACUCCUACGGGAGGCAGCAGUAAGGAAUAUUGGUCAAUGGACGCAAGUCUGAACCAGCCAUGCCGCGUGAAGGAUGAAGGUCCUCUGGAUUGUAAACUUCUUUUAUAUGGGACGAAACCUCGUUUUCUAACGGGCCUGACGGUACCAUACGAAUAGCA